rnacentral:rRNA from 1 species
GUAGGUGGCAAGCGUUGUCCGGAAUUAUUGGGCGUAAAGCGCGCGCAGGCGGUUCUUUAAGUCUGAUGUGAAAGCCCACGGCUCAACCGUGGAGGGUCAUUGGAAACUGGAGAACUUGAGUACAGAAGAGGAAAGCGGAAUUCCACGUGUAGCGGUGAAAUGCGUAGAGAUGUGGAGGAACACCAGUGGCGAAGGCGGCUUUCUGGUCUGUAACUGACGCUGAGGCGCGAAAGCGUGGGGAGCAAACAGGAUUAGAUACCCUGGUAGUCCACGCCGUAAACGAUGAGUGCUAAGUGUUAGGGGGGUUUCCGCCCCCCUUAGUGCUGCAGCUAACGCAUUAAGCACUCCGCCCUGGGAGUACGGCCGCAAGGCUGA